CUCCCAGAAGGAGUCUCGCUCCCUCAGCACGGAGCUGUUUAAGAUGAAGAAUGCCUAUGAGGAGUCCUUGGACCACCUGGAAACAAUGAAGCGGGAGAACAAGAACUUGCAGCAGGAGAUUUCCGACCUCACGGAGCAGAUUGCGGAGGGAGGAAAGGCAAUUCAUGAGCUGGAGAAAGUCAA